GUUUGAAAAGUUAGCGUUUUACAAGCACAGAAAGAAUAGGUGGAAUUGAGGCAUUAAAUACCCAUCAAGCUUUUGCAUCUCUGAAAUCAAUCUGAGAAUGGCUUCCAUCUCUCUUUCUCGUUUCACUCUGGUAUUUUCAUUUCUCAACAACCCAUCCACACAGAAAGCCAGGACUUCUCAAUACAUGUAUAUAAACAUCUAAGUAAUGAGCCAGUAAUGAGCUUAAGAUGUUUGCUCAUGUGUUUAAUACUUUGCAACGCUUCACCCACUCAACAAUCUACUGUGUGGCGCAGAAACAAUCAUCACCCCAACUUGGGGGAAGAUGAUUUCAUCGACUCCCUUCCAAAAGCUCACAACGGUCCUUGUUAUGUAGAACGUGCAGAGAAACUGAUUAGGGAAGUGGAGGAGAUGUCCAAUGGAGAUGCCCAGGAACGCCUUUCCAUGGUGGAGAACGUUGAACGCCUUGGAAUAGAUCGGCAUAUCCAAAAGGAAACAAAGAAAGCCCUUGAUUAUGUUUGCAGGUUUGUUUCUUAGAACAGAUCCAUCAAUCAUCAGGAUAAAGAGAGUCAAAAGAGAGUCAAAGAAAUCAUAUUAUAAUUUAUUUUUUUGCUUUCUUUAUUAUGAUGAUGAAUCUGUUUUAAGAAACAAACCAGUAAACAUAAUAAAGGGCUUCCCUUAUUUUGUUUUGAAAAUAUUGAUCUAUUCUAAAAUAUGAUCCGAAAUAUUGAUGCAAAAAUCUUGAACACAAUUAAAUUCAGAAACAGCAUUCUUUUUAUGAAAAUCUCUUUAUCAUAAACUUCUCCUAACUAAAUCUUGAAGCAGGUAGUGGAAUGACAAAGGCAUAAAGGAGGCACUUUGAAUUCUUCACUGUACACAUACGUCGACUUUUCUUGUACGGGUACUUUGGAUGUUGUCUCAUGUAUGCCCCUGCCUACUAGUAAGCAUAGCUUUUCUUGUGUGGCGAGAUCUACAGCUUUCUCCAAGGGUGUUCAUCCUCUCCCCUGUGCCAAGUCAUCCCCUAUGGUUGUCUUUGGGCAGGAUGUUGUGGACAACAUAGGGUUCUAUCAACAUUGUGCCCUUGUGUGCAAAUUCUCUAGGCUCUAGCCCUCCCUACUAGACCUACAUUGUUGGGUAAGUGACUCAUGGAAACCCUUGGUUGCUUCCAAUGUUGAGCUCUUCCUGUAUGCUAAAGGCUUUCUCAUCACCUCCUUUACUUCCUUGACUGAUCGAGAUUUGAUUAUGGGGAAGUUGCGGGCUUGGGGUGCCCACCCUCUCUCUAUCAAGCCCUGGACCACUACCUUCAACCCUCUUACUAAACCACUUAACGUGCAUCCAAUUUGGGUUCGUCUCUCGAAUUUUCCCCUGCACUUUUGGGAACAAUCCUGCUAUGAGGCCAUUGGCAACUCCAUUGGUCACUUCCUGAUGGUGGACGAUGACACUUCCUCAAUGGGACAUUCCACCUUCACUCGCAUUUAGGUUGACAUUAAUGUUGCUUCUCCUCUCCCUAGAGAUGUGGUGCUCAUGGUUGGGGAUAGGCCUUGGACACAACCACUAAACUUUGAGGGUCUCCCCUUUCGCUGUCGGAAGUGUUUCUCUACUGGACAUUUGGCUUUGAACUGCUCUACUUCAUAUUGCAAGGGGGCUGCAACAUGGUGGAAGGAUGCUACACUGGAUCAUUUAACUAUUUACGCUUCAGAUGAACCUUCGAAAGGAUUGGAUGAAGAGUCACCUAGUAACCCUUCUAGCGUUCCUUUAGAUUCUGAGACCAUGCUGCCUUCGACGGCCCCUCAACGACCUUCUAUAGCUUCUCUGCAACAUCUAGAGGCUACUUGUGUUGCACCUGAUGUGGCACCUGUUCAUUCUUCUACGGCUCCCUUGGAGCCUAAUGAUGAUCUUUUUGGUCCUUGUUACAAGGAACCCCCUCUGAAUGAUUUCCCCCUUGUUGAUUUGAAGGAUAGAAUUGCAUGGACGAUUGUUCACCGUAGGUGGAAGGGGAGGUCCUCCCCCCUUCCCCAAACUCUCCCCAAUCAAGGUGUGGGUGUUUCCUCUCCUCCUUGAUUUGGGCUUGUGUUGUCUAUGUUUUUGCAGGGCCCUUUGUCCACCUGCCUAUCUGGGUCUAUGUUUUUGGUUGUUGAUAGUCUAUGACUAUGUUAAAGGAUUGACGCCCUAGUCAAUGCUACUUUGAAAUCAAAAACAUUAGAUACAAUUCUUCCAGAGAACAUUCUUCCAAAUUUUGAUUUUCCUUCAAAGUUACAUGAUAUUUCACACACGCCUUUCGAUUGAGCAAUGAUAUUGAUGCAUUCAAGGUUGAAGCUACUAGGGUUGAGGAAGCUUCUUGUGUAAGAUGCUAUAUGAGAGAUAACCCUAAUUCAACAAAAGAAGAAUCUUUGGAUUAUCUUAAAUCCUUCCAAGAUAAAUUAUUGAAAGAACUAAUGUGGGAAUAUUUUAAAAAGGAUGGUGUACCAACAUGUAGUUAACUUGUCAAGAGGUACUCAACUCUUUUACAAAGAGGGAGAUGGUUUUAGUGUUGCCACUAAAGAUAUAAGAGAACAUAUUUGAAAAAUAUUGGUUCAACCAAUUAAAAUGUAAGUUGGGAUAUUGUUGAUUAGGUUGUGAGGUGUGAAAAGCUAUAUUACAUGAGCUAAUAAUCUAUGUUAGUAUGAAUAUUGCUAGCUACGCUACCUAUUUACUAUAAAUUUAUUGUGUACUAAGUGAUGAAACUAAGAAUUUUAUUCUACUAGAUGUUU